ACGAGUUUGUAGCCUGGCGUCAGGGAUGAACGACUGGCGGCGUGCUAACACAUGCAAGUCGAACGGAGUUACGUAUGAAACCUAGUGUAUUCGUAACUUAGUGUCGGACGGGUGGAGUAACGCGUGGAUACCUGCCUUGCGACUGGGGAGUAACACUUUAGAAAUAGUAGCUAAUACCGCAUAAGACGCACGGAGCCGCAUGGCUCAGUGUGAAAAACUCCGGUGGUGUAAGAUGGAUCCGCGUCUGAUUAGCUGGGUUGGCGGGGUAGGAAGCCCACCAAGGCGACGAUCAGUAGCCGGCCGUGAGAGGGUGAACGGCCACAUUGGGACUGAGACACGGCCCAAACUCCUACGGGAGGCAGCAGUGGGGAAUAUUGCACAAUGGGGGAAACCCUGAUGCAGCAACGCCGCGUGAGUGAAGAAGUCAUUCGUGAUGUAAAGCUCUAUCAGCAGGGAAGAAAAUGACGGUACCUGAGUAAGAAGCCCCGGCUAACUACGUG
rnacentral:rRNA from 1 species